rnacentral:ncRNA from 1 species
UACUUUUGCGCCCGUAUCCGAGAAACGGCUACUACAUAAAAAUCAUUUAAAUAAUAUUUGCAUG